UCCUCUGUAGCUCAGCUGGUAGAGCAGGUGGCUGUUAACCACUUGGUCGGGGGUUCGAGUCCCUCCGGAGGAG